AUUGAACGCUGGCGGCAGGCCUAACACAUGCAAGUCGAACGAGUGGCGGACGGGUGAGUAAUGUCUGGGAAACUGCCUGAUGGAGGGGGAUAACUACUGGAAACGGUAGCUAAUACAGCCUAACAUCUGAGGUGCACAGAUGGGAUGAGCUGGUUGGUGGGGUAACGGCUCACCAAGGCGACGAUCCCUAGCUGGCCUGAGAGGAUGACCAACCCCACUGUAACUGGGACACGGUCCAGACUCUGACAUGACUCAGCGUUGACUAAUAUUGCACAGUGGGCGCAAGCCUGAUUCAGCCAUGCCGCGUGUAUGAAGAAGACCUUCGGGUUAUAAAGUACUUUCAGCGGGGAGGCGUUACCCGCAGAAGAAGCACCGGCUAAAUCCGUGCCAGCAGCCGCGGUAAUAC
rnacentral:rRNA from 1 species